rnacentral:tRNA from 3 species
GCGCCAGUAGCUCAAUCGGAUAGAGCGGUGGCCUCCGGAGCCACAGGUUGGAGGUUCGAGCCCUCUCUGGCGCA